GCCUGAGUGGCUCAGUCAGUUGAGCAUCUGACUUCGGCUCAGGUCAUGAUCUCACGGUUCGUGGGUUCGAGCCCUGCAUUGGGCU
rnacentral:tRNA from 1 species